rnacentral:tRNA from 1 species
UUAAUUGAAGCUAAAACUUAAGCAUCUUAAUGUUAAUAAGAAAAUUGAAUAUUAAAUUCCAAUUAAA